rnacentral:rRNA from 1 species
UACGGAGGGUGCAAACGUUGCUCGGAAUCAUUGGGCGUAAAGCGCACGUAGGCGGCCUGAUAAGUCGGGUGUGAAAGCCCUGGGCUCAACCCAGGAAGUGCACUCGAAACUGUCAGGCUUGAAUAUGGAAGAGGGUCGCGGAAUUCCCGGUGUAGAGGUGAAAUUCGUAGAUAUCGGGAGGAACACCAGUGGCGAAGGCGGCGACCUGGGCCGGACCUGACGCUGAGACGCGAAGGCGUGGGGAGCGAACGGG